rnacentral:rRNA from 1 species
AUAGCGUAUAUUAAAGUUGUUGCAGUUAAAAAGCUCGUAGUUGAAUUUCGGGAUUGACGUGAUGGUCGUGCCUUAAGGGGUAUGAACUGUUGCUGUUGAUUUCUCACCUUCUGGAGAAACUUGAUGUCCUUAAUUGGGUGUCUUGCGGAUCCAGGACCUUUACCUUGAAAAAAUUAGAGUGUUUAAAGCAGGCAUUUUGCUCGAAUACAUUAGCAUGGAAUAAUAGAAUAGGACGGCAUGGUUCUAUUUUGUUGGUUUCUAGGAUCACCGUAAUGAUUAAUAGGGAUAGUUGGGGGCAUUAGUAUUCAAUUGUCAGAGGUGAAAUUCUUGGAUUUAUUGAAGACUAACUACUG